UCUUUCUUUCAAAUGUUAGUCUUAUAUAUGAAUAAAAAUGAUUUGGGAAUUUGGAGGUCAAGUAAUUCUCUUAACACGGUGUUUUGCCACUUGAGAUUCUUUCAUACUCAUUCAAUUCCAGAGUCUAAAAUGAGAUCGGAUGUCUCUUAGUAUGUUAAAGUAAAAAUCUAUAUUUGACGAGCCAAAUAUCUGCCAAGCACCUAAAAAACCCCAAAAGAGAAUCUUCAAACAAAUGAAAUAACCCCAAAACAUAAAAAAGAAAAAAAAGAAAGAAAUAUGAAUAUUUACUUUUGGUUUAAGGAAGUUAUAAUUAUUAUCGACCAUUACAUGUAAUUUUAAGUGGUUGGGAUUGUGUUAUUA
rnacentral:lncRNA from 1 species